GAAAGAACAAUGGAAUAGAGAAAAGAGGGAAAGAGAAGAUAAGGAGUUUCAAGAAAAGAAAGCUAAAGCUAGACAAACAACUGAAGAAAACGAACGAAGAAGAAAGGAGAGAGAAGUUAAAGUCUUCAGAGAUAAUGCAGAUGAACGUGCCAGAAUUAAUGAGGCAUUUUUCAGAAGGCUAGAGGCCGGAAUGACACUUACACAGAAAUGAUGAUUAGGGGUGCCCCCCCCCCCUCCCAUUUCAGCAGCGCUCUCGACCAGUGGCGAAUCCACGUUUUCUCAGUGAGGGUGGUAAUUAGGGCCCUGUUUCAUAAAAACUUGUUAUCAAUAACAAGUUCCGAUAACUGUUAUAAGCUAAUGGGUAGCUGAUUUGCCAUACAAAUUUAGUAAAGAGAAAUUUAAUUGAUAACAAGUUUAAUGAAAAAGGAUCCAGGUUUAUGUGGGGAGC